rnacentral:ncRNA from 1 species
ACCCUCUGGAGAACUCUUAAAUGAGUGCCGACGGUGCAAGGCUUCCUUCUGGAAGCUGAAUCUCUCAGGCAACAGGACAGAGGCG